GCUGCUUCUCGGCCUUUUGGCUAAGAUCAAGUGUAGUAUCUUCUCUGUGUCCUUUUACUCAGCAUAUUCUACUUUUUUGAUGCCAGUGGCAGUGCCGUUUCAGAGGAGAUGUUUUUACACAACUGGGUCUAAUGAUGUUGGGCUUCUGUGAGCAGCCAAGGCAACAUCUGUCCUGAUUUGCAU